rnacentral:rRNA from 1 species
GGAGCNCGCCGCGUGAACGAAGAAGGUUUUCGGAUCGUAAAGUUCUGUUGUUAGGGAAGAACAAGUACCGUUCGAAUAGGGCGGUACCUUGACGGUACCUAACGAGGAAGCCCCGGCUAACUACGUGCCAGCAGCCGCGGUAAUACGUAGGGGGCAAGCGUUGUCCGGAAUUAUUGGGCGUAAAGCGCGCGCAGGCGGUUUUUUAAGUCUGAUGUGAAAUCUUGUGGCUCAACCACAAGCGGUCAUUGGAAACUGGAGAACUUGAGGACAGAAGAGGAGAGUGGAAUUCCACGUGUAGCGGUGAAAUGCGUAGAUAUGUGGAGGAACACCAGUGGCGAAGGCGACUCUCUGGUCUGUAACUGACGCUGAGGCGCGAAAGCGUGGGGAGCGAACAGGAUUAGAUACCCUGGUAGUCCACGCCGUAAACGAUGAGUGCUAGGUGUUAGGGGGUUUCCGCCCCUUAGUGCUGCAGUUAACGCAUUAAGCACUCCGCCUGGGGAGUACGGCCGCAAGGCUGAAACUCAAAAGAAUUGACGGGGACCCGCACAAGCGGUGGAGCAUGUGGUUUAAUUCGAAGCAACGCGAAGAACCUUACCAGGUCUUGACAUCCUCUGAACACACGAGAGAUCGUGUUUUCCCUUCGGGGACAGAGUGACA